CCCCUCGAUCCCCAUCACCGCCUGCAAAUAGAGCCAAUAACAUGCUUGCUUGUUUAAAGGCGUUCGAACCCAGGUGAACUGGGUCAAACCCAGACGAUUCUAUCCGAGUUCGCCAAUGAGUCAAAGUCUCAUGCCUCUCAACUCGGUCCGCCCCCUCGCAAGCCACCACGUUGCAUAUUUGCCUCCCCAAGUAUAACUCGGACAUGACCAGGUCUUGACUCGGGACAGCCAACCCAGACCCUUCUAACGAGUCAAACAAACUGGAAUAAUAGUGCAAAGCUUCAGUGAACCGGUCUAGAAAAACCGGGCCGUUGUGGUUGGCUUCUUGUUCAACAAUGGUCACAAUCUUGGGCUUCAU
rnacentral:misc_RNA from 1 species